AGUUUGUAGAGCAGAAGCGCUAGCACGCGUGCAUGAGUAAGUGUCAUAUGCGGAACCGGUGCUGUCGUUCGCUUUGCGUAAUUAGAAGUCUAGUCGGCAGUUUUCAUUUUGGAUGUUUAUUCGCUUGUACUUCAUUUCAAACCAUGUCCAGUGCAGUCAGUGGUACAAACCCAAAACGAGAAGUGAAGCGGAGGAACAAGUCGUGCUUCAUUGCCAGGCCCAUUAACUUGUGUGAUCGGUGAGGCAGUACUUUGAAGAAGAGAAGGCAAAAGUUCAGCUCACACAUCUUGAUGGUUGGGAGGUAAAGAGAUGUGGAGCGGCUUUGAAAUUACCGGAUUAAUUCGAAAACCUGAAGAAUCUGCGGUCAUCCGGAGUUAUUGUAGCUGCUGACUCUGAUUGAACUUUGGUGCGAAGUGGAUCACCAAGGUAACAACCAUUCUUUUUUCAAUUAUGAACUGAUGAAAGCUCAAGUGGCUUUAUUAUCCUGGCCUUACACACAUAUAUAAAUUAAUUAUUAUGAAUCAGACUAUUUUCAUGUCAUGGUCAGUGAGAAACUAGGGAAGUAAUAAUGAGAGUUUGGCCAUCUUUGGGUUAAGUGCCUACUUUGCUGCUGCCUCGCAUUGUUAACUUCACUUAAUUUGUUUCUGAACCAGUAUCAAAUGUUCAAAAUAAAAUCUGGUUCCUCCAAUUUGCUAUAUAUGUUGUGCACAUCUGGUGAGUUAAUAUGUUUUAUUAUCUGGUAAUGUGCAUAGACACUACUUCAUCACAGAGUAAAUUUACACUGUUGUUAUGCUGUAUAGUUCAAUUUUGAGGUUGUGUGUGUGUGUGUGUGUGUGUGUGUCCCCUAUACUUUUCAUAAUAAAAUCAUGUAAUUAGUUAACAUCAUUUGUUUCACAGCUAGCCUGACAUGGCUCAGAACAACUAAGUUUACAGGAGCCUGCCCUCUCCUUUCCAGAAGGGAAUGAGCGAUGAGUUAAAAGAAAGAAAAAAAAUUAAAAGAAUGGACAGUGGGAAACAGGCUCGCAUUAGAUCAAUGGCUGACCCGUGGGCUGAAUACACGGUCUGUGCUAGGAUUGGGGUGGCCAACUGACAGCAGGCAGUGUUGCAUUCUCUGUUGUAUGUGAGAGACUGCAAACUGUCUUCCACAGUGUGUCCUGUGGACAUAGAUAAAAUUGACACAGACUUGAACAAUGUAGGUAGAGAAGAGGAUUUUUCUUUUGGGCAUAAGGACCAGUGAACACAGUGAUAGAGAGAGAUGGCAUGGCAAGUGUUGUGAAUUUUGUUGAUUCCGCAGAGCGCUCAGAGAAAAGUUGCUGGUAGAUUUGUUUUACUGCUUUUACUUCUUUGGACUAAAAGAUCAUUUGGAAUUGCAACAUUAUUCGUGAUUUAGUUUCCCCAAAUAUGUGGCAAAAUUUUAUUCAGUGGUCCCUCAACAGUCUAACUUUGAGAGACUCCUACUUUUCAGUUAUUGUUGAAAUGUUACAUUUUUCCAUACAGAGUCCAUUUAUCACCUACAAUUAUUAGACAUAAUGAUAGAAACAGGACACUGGCCUGAUUUCAUUACAAAAUAUAAAACAUAAUUGAGAGAUAACGAAUCAAUAAAGUACAUUACUCUGCCUGCUGUGUUACAAUAAAAGUCAUGAAAUUUUAACACAAAAUCCAGUUUCAUACGGAUAUAAUACAAUAUCUAAGAUAUUCUAAGAUUUUAAAGUUGCCUUUUACAAAUUUGAAUGAAAUGGUAAAUGAGUUCGGCAACAGAUCUAUUCAUGAAACUAAGAGCUUCUCUAAGAGAAAAAUUGUUCUGUGCUGUUGAAAUAUUGUACUGUGCAAUUGUUCUUGGAUGGCAGUAU